AUGAACGCUGGCGGCGUGCUUAAUACAUGCAAGUCGAACGAAGCACCUCUCCCGUUGAUUGACCUAGCUUGCUAGAGAUUGAAACAAUUGAGGUGACUGAGUGGCGGACGGGUGAGUAACGCGUGGGUAACCUGCCUUGUACAGGGGGAUAACAGUUGGAAACGACUGCUAAUACCGCAUAAGCGCACAGUAUCGCAUGAUACAGUGUGAAAAACUCCGGUGGUACAAGAUGGACCCGCGUCUGAUUAGCUAGUUGGAGGGGUAACGGCCCACCAAGGCAACGAUCAGUAGCCGACUUGAGAGAGUGAUCGGCCACAUUGGGACUGAGACACGGCCCAAACUCCUACGGGAGGCAGCAGUAGGGAAUAUUGCACAAUGGGGGAAACCCUGAUGCAGCGACGCCGCGUGAAGGAUGAAGUAUUUCGGCAUGUAAACUUCUAUCAGCAAGGAAGAAAAUGACGGUACUUGACUAAGAAGCCCCGGCUAAAUACGUG
rnacentral:rRNA from 1 species